rnacentral:rRNA from 1 species
UACGUAGGGUGCGAGCGUUGUCCGGAAUUAUUGGGCGUAAAGAGCUCGUAGGCGGUUCGUCGCGUCGAAUGUGAAAACCCGGGGCUCAACUCCGGGCCUGCAUUCGAUACGGGCGGACUAGAGUUCGGUAGGGGAGACUGGAAUUCCUGGUGUAGCGGUGAAAUGCGCAGAUAUCAGGAGGAACACCGGUGGCGAAGGCGGGUCUCUGGGCCGUAACUGACGCUGAGGAGCGAAGAGCGUGGGGAGCGAACAGG